GGGCGUGUAGCUCAGAUGGUAGAGCGCUCGAUUUGCUGAAGGCGUCGCUGUGACUUCCCUCGGAUUCGAGAGGUAAAGGGAUCGAUACCCUUCUCGUCCA
rnacentral:tRNA from 1 species